AUGCCAAUGCUAUACCAUAUAUCCCAGCUCAAUAUACAAAUAAUGAGCAAAAGAAAGAUAUAUUGUGAUAUACGAGGUGAAGGAACGACAAUAUAAUAUGAACAACGAAGGAAGGGAUAUCCGAUAGUACCAUGGAUUCAUAUAGCUAUAUAUAUAUAUAAUACAUAGGAGGUCACCUUAAACAUAACCUAGAUCAUCAUGUUCUCAUUUUAAGACCUCAUUAUAAUACUAUC
rnacentral:lncRNA from 1 species